CUCCAGCCACCCACUUCCUACUACCAAGCGACGUUUAACCCCUCAGCGACCGGAGACGAAAACAGCUCUCUUUCAUAGAUGUGGGGAAGCUUACAGUCCAGAUACCAGUGUGGGGCAACAGAGACACCAUGUGGACAGGAUCGGCUAUUUCAAGCAAAACUAGCUGGCCUAUGGUGAAUAGGCCAAGUGAAAUGUCAGGCCUCUUGAGACAGCCCCACAGAAAAUAAUUUAUCUGAAUUUUAGGACCAGCGGUGUCUGUGGAGGUUCAGCAAAGCACGGCGGGAGUUCAUACUGCUGACCCACAGAGAAGAAGCAGCUUGAGAUCAAACUACGUUCAAAGCUGUGGGAAUAUACAGCAGUGACCUUCAGCAAAUACAAAAUGACGGCUAUAUGAAUAUAAAUUAAAAAUAAAGCCGUGGCUUAUCUGCUGAAUUGUCUUUAAAUCUUUAGGCAGAAGAAGGCGAACAUGAAAUGUCAGGCAGACGUUUCUGCAGUUUAAUGAAGAAAUCCUCAAAGGUCACUUGACACAGAUGAUGGCAUUUACAAAACAUUUAGCCAUCUGAUAUUUUUUAAUAAGAUGGUGCAGACUGUCUUUGAUAUUAAAUAAAACAAAAUCAGUAAUAUUAUCUUGACUGGUUAAAUACAACUUCAUUGGAUCGAGCAGCUUUUUGCAUCACAUUGAAAAUGCGAAAUCACAAAGAAGAGAGAUUUGUUUUGAAGGGCAACCCUUUUUAAAUCACAAAUUGAAAUUCACAUUGUUGACAUUUUUGUAGAAAUGUCAACAAUGUGAAUGGCCUCCUUCACAUUUCUCUUAAUUACAGCACAGUUUUUCAUGCCAUAGCAACAGAUCUUUCAUUCUGAAGAUACUGCGAGUGAUAACCUUAUUAAGUAAAUGUUGCUUGGAUGCUUACAGUGAAAAGAAAGUACACCCAAUUCUAAGGUUUUACAUAUCCAUCCAUCCAUCACCUUACAUCACCUGAUUUAAACACAACCUCAGAUGAACAGAACCUAAGCAUAUUACACGGUGUUAUUAUUUAUUUAAUUUAAAUUUUGGCAGUAAAGGGUUGGCAAGUAAAGAGUUAUAAGACCAAGCACUUUUUUAUUUUUAAGAUCAAAAAUCUUCCCAUGACUGGAGGUCCCCCAAGGUCAGACUGUGCAAUACUCAAAUAAACUGCAAUAAAACAAGAGUUAGCAUAUUAAAUUUCAUGAAAGUACAAUUAGAAAAACACUGAACAUGCAUGGCUUGUUUGGCAGGGUGAGGGCAUCUGUCAAUUAAAGCUUGGACCAAAUUGGAUCAUACAACAGGACAAUGAUCCAGCACAUCUACAACAGAAUGGCAAGAACCCAGUCAAAGUCCAGACCUCAACCUGACUGAAAGGUUGUGAUAGAAAUGUGCAUGAACAAAUGAGCACAAACCUCAAGGAACUGAAGCAACACUGUAAAGAAGUGUGGGCCAAUCAUGAAUCAUGGAGUGAUUCAUGCUGUUUCUGCAUUUUGGCUUAGCUUUCGUUAAAUAAUGACACAGUGUAAUAUGUCAUGUGUUGCUGUUCAUCUGGGGUUGCAUUAAAUAAUUUUAGAACCUGGUAAUGACCAUAUGACCUGAUUUUUUUUAUUAUGUCCUGGUAUGUAAAACCUUAGGAGGACUGAAGCAGGGUCCUCUUAUUCACAUGACUUUAGGUCAUGCAUCCCUAUUACAGACCUUGUUAAGUUCAGUCUGACAUUUAACGGGUCAGAGAGCAGCAGAGGGAGUGUCUGAUUUGUGAUUAGUUAUAUAAAUAACUCCUAUUUUUAGACAAUAUUAUGCAGUGUGAUUUUCUUGUCUCACACAACUACAACUGCUCCACCACCAAAGAUUAAUUCAUGAAAGCUUUCUGUGCUAGUAGUGGAAAAGAACCAGUGCAAUCCAAUUAAACAAUUAAAGAGAUGAACUAAAGAAACUAGGACUUCGCGUAAUGAGAGAUUUAGAGACCUGCUGACCCCUUGUGCCUGGGUCAAGACAGGAUAUGUUCCUCAGUGCUAAAAGCCAGCUCAAAUUAAAGCUGACUGUACAGUCUGACCUUUGGUGGAAGCUUUUUCUUACGUCUCAGUGAAUUCAGAAAUUACUUUUUUACAUGUACAGUUCACUGUAUGCUGUAUACAUGUAUAUGGUUUUCACUCAUGAUCAAUGAUAUCAGUUCAAUCACAAACUAAAUAUAUUAAUAGCGUUAGGAAUUGUGGCAUAAACAAAAAUAAUACAUUUGGGCCUGAUUAUCAGUGUACUGUUUAAUGCAUAAAAUGUUGAAAAAUAGUUUUAAAAUCCCCUCAGAAAAAUCUUUCUUGAUUUGUUUGAGCAAAAGUCAAUGACAAAAACCACAAAAGUCCUUUUAGCGUCACUGAGUGUAAUAAAAUGUAAGAGUAUUUGCAAUAUAAAUCAUAUAGAAAAAGAAGAAAGAUGAAAAAUUAUGUGGGCUUUGGAGCAUUUCAGUAACAUGCUGGGGUUAAAUGAGAACAGAUUAUUUAAAAUGUAAUGUAUCAACAUAAUAAUCGACAUUGAGUGAUACUUAUAGCUGCAGAUAUUUAAUUUUAAAAAAGUAUUUGGAAAAUGUAUUUACAGAAUGUUAAAUAUAACUUUUAGGUUGAUGUGUGUAUGUGUCCUGCUCAGUUUCCUAAGCUGAUGUACUCUUGCCUGCAAAUCAGCCUGGAUCUUCCACUGAUCCUUUUCAGUCAACAGCUCAGCUUUCUUAACGAAGGGGGCAGACGUUAUGUGGUCAGGAAAAAAACAAAACACAACAGUCCUCUUUGAUGGUCCUCAGUGACUCACAAAAUCUUUGUAGGUUCUAGUCUGCUUCACCUCAUGUCUUCUUUUCUUUCUUUUUACUUUUUGAAUAUCUGCCUUACUGGUUUUGUUUUUCAUAUUUAUUUCUCUGACUUUAAUUAAUCUAAAUGUGGAAUGUAUUUAAAGUUUGAUUUAAAAAUCAAAAGAAAUAUUUGGAGGGUAAGGUGAUAUAGUUUCUUUUUGUUUUGUCAUAAAAUGUUAAGCACACCUGUUCAACUGCUCAUAAAUGAAAAUAUCUAAACAGCCAAACACAUGGCAGUAACUCACUGGCAUGCCGAUAUGGUCAAAAUGAUCUGCUUAAGUUCAAACUAAGCAUCAGAAUGGGAGAAAAAAAAUUGAUCAAAUGUUUCUGAAUGUGCAUCUGUAUUGGUGUUGGUGCCAAAUGGAGUGGUAUGAGUAUUUCAAAAACGGUUUAUCUACUGGGAUUUUGUCACACAAUGAUCUCCAGUUUAUAUGCUAUAAUCUAAAAAGACAGAGGCAGUUCUCUGCCUUGCUGAUGUCAGAGAUCAGAAAAUGGCCAGACUGCUGCAACCUGAUAGGCAGGGAACAAAAGCUCAAAUAACCACUUGUUACAACCGAGAUCAACAGUAGAGCAUCUCUAAAUGCAGAACACAUCAAACCUCGAAUACAUGGGCUACAGCAGCAGAAGACCAUACUGUAACUCCUGUCAGCUCAGAACGGGACACUUAGACUACAACUCGCACAGGCUCACCGAAACUGGGCAACAGAAGAUUUCGAAACAUUCUGCCAGUGCUGAUAUUCUGCUCCCUUAUCGGGGGUUCAGGUUCAAAGUGGUAGUGCAAUGGUGUGGGGGAUAUUUUUUUGCCACACUUUGGGCUCCUAAGUGCCAACUGAGUAUCAUUUAAAGGCCACAGCCUGUCUGACUACUGUUACUGACCAUGUCCAUGACCACAGCCCAUCCAUCUUCUGAUGAUUGUUUCCAGCAUGAAGACACGCCAUGUCACAAAGCUCACAUCAUCUCAAACUGGCUUCCUUCAGCAUCGCAAUGAGUUCACUGUACUCAACUGAACUUCAGUCACCAGAUCUCACCUCUGGCAUGUUGUGAAACAGAAGAUUUGCAUCAUGAAUGACAAACCAAUAAAUCAGUAGCAACCACGUAAUGCUAUCACAAUCCAUGAUAUGUUCAGCAUCUUGUUCAGUCUGUGCCAUGAGGAAUUACGGUAGGUCUACCAAGUAUACCUAACAAAGUGGCUGAUAACUGUAUGUUUACAAAGUGCAAGAUUGUAUCCCAUAUAUAACGCUGCCUAUUCACUAUGGAACAAAGACAGGAUGGUCUAAUAGAAUUACAUUACGCAGUCCUAAGCUGAAAUAGAUCUGCCUUAGUCAUAUGUACACGUGGGCCAACCGCUAACUAAUCCCAUUGACGCAACAGGACAUCGAGCUCCUCAAAGGACUUAGGAGGAGUCUGGGGAAGUUAUAAAUGACCAUAGAAGGAUCAAGAAAGGAAUCAGCAGCACAGAGUGAUUCAGACAGCUCCAGCUGAGGCUACAGCAGCCAACUUGCCUUGGAAUUCAGCUUUCUGACAUCUGACUACCCUCCACAACCAUGGAGCCUGUGGCACAGACAAUGACUGCCACCACAGCCUUUGACAGAGAAACUUUCCCCAGGAGAGCUCUGAGAGCAGCCCCCAGAGGAGCUUCAUCUCACUUUGUGGGGAGCUCUAUCAUCAUCCUUUCCUCAUUUGCUGUCUCCAGCUUAGCUAUGAACUGCGGGAAGAGAAUCCAGGAGUCCAGAAACAAACCCAACAGCAAAUAGCAAGGUGGAGAAAUGGAUUUCCCUCCGUAGCCAACAGCUAGGCUAAUCUAGCCAGAAUAUAUUUUCAUAUUCAUAUGACGGGAGCUGGAACUCCUAGCCAGCUGCCUUCCAUCGUCCUGUAGUAAAAUGUGAUGCAUCAUAAAGUGUCCUGGAGAAAAGGCCUAGAAGAGGAUGAAGCGUGGGACAGAUCUGGAAAAAGAAUGGCUGAGAUUUCUGGAAUAUAAACAUUUGAAGAUCAUCUCAAAAUUCAGCUGUGCUCUCUAAAUGCACAUUGUUGGAUUGAUACAGAUUACAGAGCGGGCUUUAAAGAAGAGAAAUAUAUGCAGUAAUACCAUCAAACCUCAUCCUACUUCUACCUCAUAUCUGUAGCAUGUAACACUGAAGACAACAAAAGCUAAAGAUGAUUAAGUUCCAAAUAUCCGCCCCUCGGUUGUGAUAAAAAGGCAAUGUACUAUUUUAUUUUUGAGAUGCUUAGCAUAAGUUUUUGUAACAUGUUGUUUUAUGUUGUUUCUGUUCUUGGCAACCCAUCUGUUAGGACUGAUGACUCAAGGAAAAAACCUGGACCGUCAUUUUUAUUUAGUCAUAAUAUAUCAAAAGACACCGUCUCCCUACAAGAGCUGGAUACAGAAUCACUCAGUGUAGUAUUAUCAUGUGAAAUUCAACAACAACAACUAUCAACUACUGUGAAGUAUUUAAAGAUUGUAUUAAAAUACUUAGAGCUGUACUACAUUUUUCUUUGGAAUUACUAAUUUACAUAAUUAAAGGCUGUUUUAUUGUGACAAUAUUUAUGUUGCUUUUUUGUUAAAAUUAAAGACACUUGUUUUAAGUA